CCUACGGGAGGCAGCAGUGAGGAAUAUUGGUCAAUGGGCGGAAGCCUGAACCAGCCAAGUAGCGUGCAGGAUGACGGCCCUACGGGUUGUAAACUGCUUUUAUACGGGAAUAACGCGCCUUACGUGUAGGGCUUUGCAUGUACUGUAUGAAUAAGGACCGGCUAAUUCCGUGCCAGCAGCCGCGGUAAUACGGAAGGUCCGGGCGUUAUCCGGAUUUAGUGGGUUUAAAGGGAGCGUAGGCGGGUUGUUAAGUGUGUUGUGAAAUGUCCGGGCUCAACCCGGGCCUUGCAGCGCGUACUGGCGGACUUGAGUGCGGUGGAGGCAGGCGGAAUGUGUCGUGUAGCGGUGAAAUGCUUAGAUAUGACGAAGAACCCCGAUUGCGAAGGCAGCUUGCUGCAGCGGAACUGACGCUGAUGCUCGAAAGCGCGGGUAUCGAACAGGAUUAGAUACCCGAGUAGUC
rnacentral:rRNA from 1 species